rnacentral:rRNA from 1 species
ACGAACGUUGGCGGCGUGCUUAAUACAUGCAAGUCAACUGAAGCACGGUAGUAAUACUGGUGUGGAGGUGGCGCACGGGUGAGUAACACGUAGGUAAUCUGCCUUCAGGUCUGACAUAACCCCGAGAAAUCGGGGCUAAUAGCAGAUGAUGCAGCGGCUUGACAUCAAGACAGUUGGGUUAAAGCUUCGGCGCCUGAAGAUGAGCCUGCGUCUGAUUAGCUAGUUGGCGGAGUAAUAGCCCACCAAGGCGACGAUCAGUAGCUGGUCUGAGAGGAUGAUCAGCCACACUGGAACUGAGACACGGUCCAGACUCCUACGGGAGGCAGCAGUAAGGAAUAUUGCUCAAUGGGAGAAAUCCUGAAGCAGCAACGCCGCGUGAGGGAUGAAGGGCUUUUGCUCGUAAACCUCUGUAGUGAGGGAAAAAUUUCCAUUCUAUGGAAUAUGAUGGUACCUCAAAAGUAAGCCCCGGCUAACUACGUG